rnacentral:rRNA from 1 species
UACGAAGGGUCCAAGCGUUAUCCGGAUUUAUUGGGUUUAAAGGGUGCGUAGGCGGCUUAUUAAGUCAGUGGUGAAAGCCUGCAGCUUAACUGCAGAACUGCCAUUGAUACUGAUGGGCUUGAGUAUAGUUGAGGUGGGCGGAAUGUGUCAUGUAGCGGUGAAAUGCUUAGAUAUGACACAGAACACCGAUUGCGAAGGCAGCUCGCUAAACUAUAACUGACGCUGAGGCACGAAAGCGUGGGGAGCGAACAGG